UGUCCACUCUCCCCCUUUAUUGAUUGACAGUGGUUUCAUGUCUCUGUCUCCCUGCUGUAGAAAGUUAUUACAAAAAGAAGGUUUAUUUUGGACAUGCAAUUCCCUUUUUUACCAGUAGGGGUAAAAUGAAAGGUUGUGAAAAAUGUCCACUCUCCCCCUCUAUUGAUUGACACUGGUUUCAUGUCUCUGUCUCCCUGCUGUAGAAAGUUAUUACAAAAAGAAGGUUUAUUUUGGACAUGCAAUUCCCUUUUUUACCAGUAGGGGUAAAAAGAAAGGUUGUGAAAAAUGUCCACUCUCCCCCUCUAUUGAUUGACACUGGUUUCAUGUCUCUGUCUCCCUGCUGUAGAAAGUUAUUACAAAAAGGAGGCUAAUUUUGGACGUGCAAUUCCCUUUUCUACCAGUAGGGGUAAAAAGAAAGGUUGUGAAAAAAGUCCACUUUCCCCCUCUACUGAUUGACACUGGUUUCAUGUCUCUGUCUCACUGCUGUAAAAAAGUUAUUACAAAAAGAAGGAUAAUUUUGGACAUGCAGUUCCCUAAUCAGCCACUUGUGGUAAAAUGAAAGGUUGUGAAAAAUGUCCACUCUCCCCCUCUAUUGAUUGACAGUGGUUUCAUGUCUCUGUCUCCCUGCUGUAGAAAGUUAUUACAAAAAGAAGGUUCAU